AGAGUUUGAUCCUGGCUCAGAGCGAACGCUGGCGGCGUGCUUAACACAUGCAAGUCGAAUGGGUGUAGCAAUACAUCCAUGGCGAACGGGUGCGUAACACGUGGAUAACCUUCCUUCAGGUGGGGAAUAACCCAGUGAAAAUUGGGCUAAUACCGCAUAACAUUUCGGGGGCACAUGCUUCUGAAUUCAAAGGCGCAAGUCGCCAGAAGAGGGAUCCGCGGCCGAUUAGCUAGUUGGCGGGGUAACGGCCCACCAAGGCAAAGAUCGGUAGCUGGACUGAGAGGUUGGCCAGCCACACUGGAACUGAGACACGGUCCAGACUCCUACGGGAGGCAGCAGUGGGGAAUCUUGCACAAUGGGCGAAAGCCUGAUGCAGCAACGCCGCGUGGGGGAUGAAGCUUUUCGGAGUGUAAACCCCUUUCGACCCGGAAGAAAGCCCGCAAGGGUUUGACGGUACGGGUAUAAGAAGCCCCGGCUAACUACGUGCCAGCAGCCGCGGUAAUACGUAGGGGGCCAGCGUUGCUCGGAAUUACUGGGCGUAAAGGGUCUGUAGGCGGUGUAGCAAGUCGAGAGUGAAAUCCCUGGGCUUAACCCAGGGGCUGCUAACGAAACUGCUAUGCUAGAGUGUGAGAGAGGCAAGUGGAAUUACGGGUGUAGCGGUGAAAUGCGUAGAUAUCCGUAGGAACAUCCGAGGCGAAGGCGGCUUGCUGGAUCACAACUGACGCUGAGAGACGAAAGCUAGGGGAGCAAACAGGAUUAGAUACCCUAGUAGUCC
rnacentral:rRNA from 1 species